rnacentral:rRNA from 1 species
GUCGAACGGCAGCGCGGGAGCAAUCCUGGCGGCGAGUGGCGAACGGGUGAGAAAUACAUCGGAACGUGCCCAAUCGUGGGGGAUAACGAGAGAAAGCUGUGCUAAUACCGCAUACGAUCUACGGAUGAAAGCAGGGGAUCGCAAGACCUUGCGCGAAUGGAGCGGCCGAUGGCAGAUUAGGUAGUUGGUGAGGUAAAGGCUCACCAAGCCUUCGAUCUGUAGCUGGUCUGAGAGGACGACCAGCCACACUGGGACUGAGACACGGCCCAGACUCCUACGGGAGGCAGCAGUGGGGAAUUUUGGACAAUGGGCGCAAGCCUGAUCCAGCCAUGCCGCGUGCAGGAUGAAGGCCUUCGGGUUGUAAACUGCUUUUGUACGGAACGAAACGGCUCUUUCUAAUAAAGAGGGCUAAUGACGGUACCGUAAGAAUAAGCACCGGCUAACUACGUGCCAGCAGCCGCGGUAAUACGUAGGGUGCAAGCGUUAAUCGGAAUUACUGGGCGUAAAGCGUGCGCAGGCGGUGAUGUAAGACAGUUGUGAAAUCCCCGGGCUCAACCUGGGAACUGCAUCUGUGACUGCAUCGCUGGAGUACGGCAGAGGGGGAUGGAAUUCCGCGUGUAGCAGUGAAAUGCGUAGAUAUGCGGAGGAACACCGAUGGCGAAGGCAAUCCCCUGGGCCUGUACUGACGCUCAUGCACGAAAAGCGUGGGGAGCAAACAGGGAUUAGAUACCCUGGUAGUCCACGCCCUAAACGAUGUCAACUGGUUGUUGGGUCUUCACUGACUCAGUAACGAAGCUAACGCGUGAAGUUGGACCGCCCUGGGGGAGUUACACGCCCGCAAAGGUUUGAAAACUUCAAAGGGAAAUU